AGUCGUUCUGCCCAUUGUAUUUAAAAGGCUGCAGUAUAUUAACUGUACAAAGGUAGCAUAAUAAAUAGUUUUUUAAUUGAAAACUUGAAUGAAUGAAUUGAUAAAAUAUAAUUUGUCUCUAAAAUUGAAAUUAAAUUGAAAGUAAAAAUGCUUUUAUAUAAUUAUUAGACGAUAAGACCCUAAGAAUUUUAAUUUAUUAAAUAAUUUUUAAUUUUAAUGUAAUUAAAUAAUUUUUAUUGGGAGGAUAAUUAAAUAAAACUUUAAUUAUAAUAAAUAAUUUAAUUAAAUUUAAUGAUUAUUAUUAUAAUUAUAAGGAGAAAUUACCUUAGGGAUAACAGCGUAAUAAUUUUGGAUAGUUCAUAUUGAUAAAAUUGAUUGCGACCUCGAUGUUGAAUUAAAAUAAAAUUUAAAUGGAGAUAUUUAAUUUUUAGUCUGUCGACUAUUAAAAUUUUAC
rnacentral:rRNA from 1 species